AUAUUUGUUACUGUGACCUGCUAUCAUAUUUUCCCUACUUGUUUUUCUUUCACAAGUUGCAUAGCUUGUUAUAUGGGCUGUUGGAGGCUAUAAACAGAGUGUAGGAGAUGCUUGGUGGCUCAAGCUAAUUGGUUUUAUGAUAAUCCAGUCUUAGAGAUCUCCCACUAUGAUCUAUUUUUUGGUUACACAACUUCUAGUGCUAGUAGUUGCAUUGCCUGAUAUACAUGGGAACAUAUUCGGUCUUGUUCCGUGGCGGUAUACUUGUUGGGGUCAUUUCUUAACAGUUGUUGAACAAUUAGGUUCCCAUCUUAAAGUUGCUUCCUGUUUGCUUCUACCUGCUAUUCAGCUGGUUAUGGGAAUUAGCCAUCC